rnacentral:rRNA from 1 species
CCUACGGGUGGCAGCAGUGGGGAAUAUUGGGCAAUGGGCGCAAGCCUGACCCAGCAACGCCGCGUGAAGGAAGAAGGCCCUCGGGUUGUAAACUUCUUUUAUCAAGGACGAAACAAAUGACGGUACUUGAUGAAUAAGCCACGGCUAACUACGUGCCAGCAGCCGCGGUAAUACGUAGGCGGCAAGCGUUAUCCGGAUUUACUGGGGGAAAAGGGCGUGUAGGCGGGACUGCAAGUCAGAUGUGAAAACCAUGGGCUCAACCCAUGGCCUGCAUUUGAAACUGUAGUUCUUGAGUGUUUGGGGGGCGGGCAGAAUUCGGGGUGUAGCGGGGAAAUGCGUAGAUAAACGGGGGAACACCGGUGGCGAAGGCGGCCUGCUGGACAAUAACUGACGCUGGGGCGCGAAAGCGUGGGAGCAAACAGGAUUAGAUACCCUUGUAGUC